rnacentral:rRNA from 1 species
CUGCGAAAGCCGGAUUAAUACCGCAUACGAUCUACGGAUGAAAGCGGGGGACCUUCGGGCCUCGCGCUAUAGGGUUGGCCGAUGGCUGAUUAGCUAGUUGGUGGGGUAAAGGCCUACCAAGGCGACGAUCAGUAGCUGGUCUGAGAGGACGACCAGCCACACUGGGACUGAGACACGGCCCAGACUCCUACGGGAGGCAGCAGAGGGGAAUUUUGGACAAUGGGCGCAAGCCUGAUCCAGCAAUGCCGCGUGUGUGAAGAAGGCCUUCGGGUUGUAAAGCACUUUUGUCCGGAAAGAAAACCUCGUGGUUAAUACCCGUGGGGGAUGACGGUACCGGAAGAAUAAGCACCGGCUAACUACGUGCCAGCAGCCGCGGUAAUACGUAGGGUGCAAGCGUUAAUCGGAAUUACUGGGCGUAAAGCGUGCGCAGGCGGUUCGCUAAGACAGAUGUGAAAUCCCCGGGCUUAACCUGGGAACUGCAUUUGUGACUGGCGAGCUAGAGUAUGGCA